UACGGGGGGUGCGAGCGUUGUCCGGAAUCACUGGGCGGAAAGGGCGCGUAGGUGGCCUGAUAAGGGUGUGGUGAAAGUCCGGGGCUCAACCCCGGAUCUGCCGUGCCGACUGUUAGGCUAGAGUACUGUAGGGGCAGGCGGAAUUCCGGGUGUAGCGGUGGAAUGCGUAGAGAUCCGGAGGAAGACCGGUGGCGAAGGCGGCCUGCUGGGCAGUUACUGACACUGAGGCGCGACAGCGUGGGGAGCAAACAGG
rnacentral:rRNA from 1 species